UUAACCCUUUGCAACAUUUAAUACAUAUUUAGUAUGUUUAUGACAUCUUUAAAACGUUUAUUAAAUGUUUACUGUUUCCAUUAAAUGUAUCAGUUAAAGACGAUUUAACUGAAUCUUGUUGUCAGUUAUAUAGUAAGAUAGUAACACAAUCAUAAAAAAAUGACAACACAUGUUUCCUUUUGUUUAGAACCACUUUCACAGCACAGAAGUGUACCGGUGAUCUUGCCUUCUAAAAAUGAUGACACACUUCAAAAGACACACGUACAUCUUGCUGAGAAGUUAAAAGCUAAAAUGGCAAAGCCUAGUCAAACUGUUCUCAGCAUAUGUCUCGCCUGCCGAGUAAGAGAGGAAGUUCAGGUUAAACAUCUCGCUGACUCCGUGCUGAAACAAAACAUGAUCCGUUUGCCAUCACAUUCUGACUACAAGUACUCGGCUAUGACAAACACUGUCAAAUGGAUUGCUCUACUAAAAGAAGUCAAUACGCCAGGAAUUAUUACAGCCCUUAAAGACAAAUAUCCAGAUUUACAUGAUGAGUGUCGAAUCAAAAUACUCAGAACUUUAGAGUGUACUUGUGUUAUGGAAUAUGAAAAAAAAGAAAUGAACGUGGCGAGACUUGCAAUCAAUGUACCUAUAUAUAUUAAAUACUUUCAGUAA